UAUUUUGUUGGUUUCUAGGAUCGCCGUAAUGAUUAAUAGGGAUAGUUGGGGGCAUUAGUAUUCAAUUGUCAGAGGUGAAAUUCUUGGAUUUAUUGAAGACUAACUUCUGCGAAAGCAUUUGCCAAGGAUGUUUUCAUUAAUCAAGAACGAAAGUUAGGGGAUCGAAGACGAUCAGAUACCGUCGUAGUCNUAACCAUAAACUAUGCCGACUAGGAUCG
rnacentral:rRNA from 1 species